rnacentral:rRNA from 1 species
UACGUAGGCAGCAAACGUUGUUCGGAAUUACUGGGCGUAAAGAGUGUGUAGGCGGUUCUGUAAGAUUGGUGUGAAAUCUCCCGGCUUAACUGGGAGGGUGCGCCGAUAACUGCAGGGCUUGAGUAUUGGAGAGGAGAGCGGAAUUCCUGGUGUAGCAGUGAAAUGCGUAGAUAUCAGGAGGAACACCGAUGGCGAAAGCAGCUCUCUGGGACGGUACUGACGCUGAGGCGCGAAAGCGUGGGGAGCGAACAGG